rnacentral:lncRNA from 1 species
CAACAUAAACAGUAUUUGUUUUAAUGACUCUUGCUUGGGCAAGCACUUUGGGGCUCCGAUCCCACAGUAGCAUCUGGGGUGGGUGUCUCCAACUCCUGAAGCCAAAGUUGGCAUGGCAUGUGUUACAGUGCACUCCUUUAGCUUUGCCAUCUGCAGAUGGCUCUGUCUCAUUUCCAUAUAAUUAAUAGUAGUUUAACCUCCACAUGGGGACAGUUGCCUUGGAGAGUUCCCGUAGAUCCACAAUGCCCUUGUGAAAUUAUAGCCACUGAUUAAUGUUUAUCUGAGGAGUAUAACUGUAAGUUUCCAGAGCUGCUGGAAAGCCAAUUCUUACCCAAAACAGCUGUGAAACCAGACUGACUUUUAACCUCCCCUGUUGAAUACAGGAACUCUUGGCACAAUUACAGUGCAAGUAGCACAGAACCUAUGGGGUUACCAUUAUAGAAACAGACUUGGCCAGCAGGAAAUGUUUAUAUCCUGCACGAAACCCUGAUGUUUGACAUAAAACUGGAGCUGCUCACCAUCAUUUUAUAAAACAAAAGUCUCCCUCUUUGAACUUGCCUCAUGGCCCAAACGAACAAAUACUCCCAUUUCCUUUCCAUCAAAUACCUCAAUCCCAACUAUUUCUUUCAUUGAACCAUUUUUGUACUCUGUAGAUACAGGAAAUAAACAGCCCUGCAGUGCUCUGCCUAUAAUGCAAUACAAGCCACUUCCACCGAGGAGAACACUCAGUAAGCAACAACAAAGAGAGAUAGACUCUGGGUUGGUCCUUCCAAUUCCUCAAGCAUCUCCUAGGUAAGGCAAUUAUAUUUUAAUAAAAAUGAACUAGGCUUCAUGCUACAAAAGCAACACCACCAGAUUUCUCUAUAACUUACUGAAUUUGAGGCUUAGAACUCAAGAGGUAAUAUCUACAUGCUGACUUUCACCAGUUUCUCCUUUAUCAAAGAUAGACAUGUGAAGACGGGGAAAUGAAGAAAGCCUGGGUUAAGAGAUUGAGCUGGCUGAACCCAAGGAUCUAGAAGAGAUAAGUUAAAGCCUUUUUACAACU